AUGACUGAUUUCUUUUGGUGUUCAGAGUCAAUAUCAUUUUCUAGCACCAUUUGAAAUCGGUUAU
ensembl:miRNA mdo-mir-29a-1 mdo-mir-29a-1